rnacentral:rRNA from 1 species
GAUGAACGCUGGCGGCGUGCCUAAUACAUGCAAGUCGAGCGAACGGACGAGAAGCUUGCUUCUCUGAUGUUAGCGGCGGACGGGUGAGUAACACGUGGAUAACCUACCAAUAAGACUGGGAUAACUUCGGGAAACCGGAGCUAAUACCGGAUAAUAUUUUGAACCGCAUGGUUCAAAAGUGAAAGACGGUCUUGCUGUCACUUAUAGAUGGAUCCGCGCUGCAUUAGCUAGUUGGUAAGGUAACGGCUUACCAAGGCAACGAUGCAUAGCCGACCUGAGAGGGUGAUCGGCCACACUGGAACUGAGACACGGUCCAGACUCCUACGGGAGGCAGCAGUAGGGAAUCUUCCGCAAUGGGCGAAAGCCUGACGGAGCAACGCCGCGUGAGUGAUGAAGGUCUUCGGAUCGUAAAACUCUGUUAUUAGGGAAGAACAUAUGUGUAAGUAACUGUGCACAUCUUGACGGUACCUAAUCAGAAGGCCACGGCUAACUACGUG